CGAGCAUUCGGAUUGUCGGUCUACCGAGCAAUUUCACGUGCUCGGUGGAGAAUCUUUCCUUUGUCGU
rnacentral:pre_miRNA from 1 species